UGAGGAAUAUUGGUCAAUGGGGCGGAAGCCUGAACCAGCCAAGUAGCGUGAGGGAUGACUGCCCUAUGGGUUGUAAACCUCUUUUAUAAGGGAAUAAAAUACGGGACGUGUCCUGUUUUGCAUGUACCUUAUGAAUAAGCAUCGGCUAACUCCGUGCCAGCAGCCGCGGUAAUACGGAGGAUGCAAGCGUUAUCCGGAUUCAUUGGGUUUAAAGGGUGCGUAGGCGGCUUGGUAAGUCAGCGGUGAAAUUCCAGUGCUCAACAUUGGCCGUGCCGUUGAUACUGCUGGGCUUGAAUGCGGAUGCCGUGGGAGGAAUGUGUGGUGUAGCGGUGAAAUGCAUAGAUAUCACACAGAACACCGAUUGCGAAGGCAUCUCACGAAUCCGCAAUUGACGCUGAGGCACGAAAGUGUGGGGAUCAAACAGGAUUAGAUA
rnacentral:rRNA from 1 species